rnacentral:lncRNA from 1 species
CUGCAGGGAACCCUGUCCCUGCAAAGGUACCCCCAGCAAGCCCAGCAGCCUGGACAUCCCUCCAGCUGCAUCCACGCUGGACACCGGACUGACCCCUUGCACAGGAUGGCGGCAUCACCCAUUCUCAGAGGAAGGUAGGAGACUGUGCUGAAUGUCACCUCCAGGAGCUGUAGGAACAGUCCCUUGACAAGGUCCCAGUGUGCCUUUCUCUGGCCUCCUGGUGUCUGGCUGGGUGUGCUUGGAGAGCACAAACCCAUGCCCUUGUUUGUGGUUUCCUUCAGCUUUGCCCCAGGUUCCCGCAGACCGAGGGCACCACUCAGUCACCCCUGGCCCUUCAGUGCACUUGCAGAACUCACAGGGAAGGCCAGAGCUGCCACCAAGGAGGGAAGCAGAGCCCCGUGGCUGUGGGAAGGACUGACCCUUUGCAGGCUGACAACAUGGAAGGACCCUCCCCAGCUGGGCAAGCUUUGUGCAGCCCUGGUUUCUGUUGCACUCGGGGCAGCUCUUUCC